rnacentral:tRNA from 8 species
CGAGGUGUGGCUCAGUUUGGUAGAGCGCUGCGUUCGGGACGCAGAGGUCGCAAGUUCAAAUCUUGUCACCUCGACCA